rnacentral:misc_RNA from 1 species
GAAUUUCAAUAAUAUUCUUAAAAUAAAAAAAAAGAAAAUUUGGAAUCUUAAUUUUUGCCUGAAAUUAGUUAAAAGAAGGAAUUGGUGGUAAUUUUUCCUCUCUUCUUGUUCUUGUAGUAGGCAUUUACCUUUAUGUAUUCAAUUUUUGUUGGAGAUGAGAUGCCUUAUGAUAAUGCUUUCAAAUUAAAGUUUCUGUGAUUCUGAUUCAGCUUAUAGUUGAACUUCACUAGUGAACUAGUGAACUUAUAACGAGUGUUUAUUAUGUGUUUGUAUGCAUGUGGAGAAACAUUGGACUAACUAAAACUAAUACUCUGU